rnacentral:rRNA from 1 species
UACGUAGGGUGCGAGCGUUAAUCGGAAUUACUGGGCGUAAAGCGUGCGCAGGCGGUUUUGUAAGACUGUCGUGAAAUCCCCGGGCUUAACCUGGGAAUGGCGAUGGUGACUGCAAGGCUAGAGUUUGGCAGAGGGGGGGUAGAAUUCCACGUGUAGCAGUGAAAUGCGUAGAGAUGUGGAGGAACACCGAUGGCGAAGGCAGCCCCCCUGGGUCAAGACUGACGCUCAUGCACGAAAGCGUGGGGAGCAAACAGG